rnacentral:rRNA from 1 species
GACGAACCGUGCGAACGUUAUUCGGAAUCACUGGGCUUAAAGGGCGCGUAGACGGGCGACCGCGUCGAUGGCUGAAAGCCCCCCGGCUCAACCGGGGAACGGGCCUCGAUACGGGUCGCCUUGAGUGGAGGAGGGGGACCUGGAACUGCCGGUGGAGCGGUGAAAUGCGUGAGAUCGGCAGGAACGCCUGUGGCGAAGCGAGGUCCUGGACUCCUACUGACGUUGAGGCGCGAAAGCGUGGGGAGCAAACAGG